rnacentral:lncRNA from 1 species
AGAGAUUGGCAUUAUCAUUCCAAAAGUUGGGAGGGCUUUAGGGUCAUUGUUUAGUGGAUUUUGUUCAACCUUCGGAAUUUCAUUGGGGAAAUGUGGUGGUGGCGGUGGCAUAUCUUGGCGAGGUUGCAUAGGUGCGAAGCUAGCAUUUUGCGAGGUUAUGGGAUGUUGGGGUUGGAAAGAGGGCGAAGGUUGCCAUGUUAGUGGUGGUUGAUAAGCUACGAGGUUGGUUGGGCUUAGGUAAUAUGGUGGGUGUGGGUAAAAGGCAAUGUGGUGGAUGGUUUUGGGUGCUUGAGCCACUUUAUUUUCUGCGGCUCGCUUCGCAUUUACUUCCAAGGUGAUGGGGCACCAGUCUAUUGCGUCAUUGAGCUGCUUUCCAUGGAAUACACAAUGAAAUGGUCUUUGCGGCUUGACCUGAUUGUUUGGCUUCGGGGGGCCGUUGUUUCGGCCUCUUCCCCUUCCUCCAUGACCUCCUCUAUUGUCGUUACCAGAGUUGGAAUAGUUUUGGUUGUGUUGAUUUGGAAGUGAAGGAUUGCUGCCAUUGUAGUUGUGAUGUAAAGGUUGGUUGCCUUCGAUUGCUAGUACCUAGGCUUGAUGCUGAUUGCAGCCCUGGUUAUGAUUGUACUGCAAAGCUUGCCAGUUUCUACUCUUAUCAGACUACCUUUGAUG